UAAGUAGGGCGCAAGCGUUAUCCGGAAUUAUUGGGCGUAAAGAGAUCGUAGGCGGUUUGUCGCGUCUGCCGUGAAAGUCCGGGGCUCAACUCCGGAUCUGCGGUGGGUACGGGCAGACUAGAGUGAUGUAGGGGAGACUGGAAUUCCUGGUGUAGCGGUGAAAUGCGCAGAUAUCAGGAGGAACACCGAUGGCGAAGGCAGGUCUCUGGGCAUUAACUGACGCUGAGGAGCGAAAGCAUGGGGAGCGAACAGG
rnacentral:rRNA from 1 species